CACUAGCAGGUUUUGGCUUGCUUGAAAAAACACUCAGCUCGUCUCUCUCCUCCUUGUCAAACACUUCAUUGUGCAGAGCAGACACAAAGGUUGAAGACAGUAUAGCAUUGGGCUCAUUCACACUAGCCUGCUCUGUUCAGGAUGGACAGCACCAACAUCUUUAUAUCUUGUUUCCACUUCACACUGAUGACUUUCCCAACCUGGACUUGAUAAGCAACGCGAUGGAAUUAACAACAAACAUACCGCUCCUAUAGCAUCACAACAGCAUUUCUGUGGUUGAUGAAGAAACAAGAUGCUGCAUCCAUCAGUCUGUGGAUUUGCUUGUUUGCUGCCGUUACGUUAGAUGAGUGUCAACUGUUCUCUGACCAAGUAAAAUA